UACGAAGGGGGCAAGCGUUGUUCGGAAUUACUGGGCGUAAAGGGCGCGUAGGCGGCUUAUCAAGUCAGGCGUGAAAUUCCCGGGCUCAACCUGGGGGCUGCGCUUGAUACUGAGUGACUAGAGUGCGGGAGAGGAGAGUGGAAUUCCUGGUGUAGCGGUGAAAUGCGUAGAUAUCAGGAGGAACACCGGUGGUGUAGACGGCUCUCUGGACCGUAACUGACGCUGAGACACGAAAGCGUGGGGAGCAAACAGG
rnacentral:rRNA from 1 species